CAAUAUUGUUUUUGAACAUUCGUUUUCGGACUGAUGCCCAACUGAGCAUUUUACUCAUUGCAUCCUCAUUGUGCGGUGAUUUUGGUCUAAAGUGCAUUGCUGUGGCUUGAAAAUACUGUAACGACCCGGUAUUGUGUUCUGUGUUUGUGGGUGUGUUAUGGUUCUCAUGGCUACUAGCAGGGGUUAAAUAUGGCAGGACAGAUGGAAAGGUUGGGGGGGUAUGAUGGGUAAUCCCGCGGGGUUUGGAAAAGCAUAAAUAGGGGUUACUGUGUCAUCGCUCUCUCUCUUCUGUUCGGGGCCUUGAUCUGUUCCUAUGAGAGUGACCCUUAGCUCGACACGGUGUAAUUGUGUACGUUCAGCAUUUAGUGGCGUGGGCUGUGGCCUGAACAAUAGCCCAGUUUAGGAAUAAACCUGUGUUCUGACCUGCACACCGUCUCUUUUCUCUUUAUGACCCAGCCGGGUCAUUACAAUACUAUGACAUUUCUAAAGGCCAAUAAUUAGUAGGAAAACCUUGUCAUUUUGAUUUCGCUACAUUGACUUUAGGUACAAUAUAACUGUAACGACCCUGGGUUUAUCAGGGUCGUUACAUAACGUUAGCUACCUAGCUAACGCUUCGAACACACCGGCUGCGUCAUUGCAUCACUGCUGCAUAACAUUUUGCGCAACUAUACUGAUGCAGGUACCUUUUGCAAAUGGUCGCAUGCGGUUGGACACAUGGAGGAGAGAAUCAUUUUCGCAGUAUCCUCAAAACCGUGUCUUUUUGACACAACUGCUGACAGCUACAGGGACAUAAACACAAAAAAAGCUGCUUGGAGACAAGUGUCCACGAUAGUAGGAUUGCCAGGUCAGUUUAGUAGUGAGCUUGUGCUAGAUGUGGCUAGUUAGCGUUAGUCAGCUAGCUAACCUAGCUUGCUAACCUAGCCAAUGAGGUGUGUGUGAAAGAAAGUCAAAUAAAUUAUGCUAGUUACUACCCCUAAUAAAUUUACCAAAUGUUCAUGUUUGAAAGAGUGUGAAUGCUAGAUAAAUAGUAAUGGAAAUGGUAGAUACUACUGUACCCCUGAUAAUUUGGUCAAAUUACCGUGUGUCGAAUAAAUAAUAUACUUGGCAAAUAAAUAAAUAAAUGUAAAGAAAUUAUGCAAUCAAACUGUUUUUAUGUAAUCCCAAUUUUUUACUGAAUGUGUGCAACAACAAAAAAAAUCUACAUUCAUAUUUUGCUACUUUCUGUCAAGUCCACUCAUACAAUUUGAUGGAUACGUUCGAUUUAUCGAACGUAUGCACCACACAGAACGCACUGCAACUGCCUCUGCAACGCAAUGCUGAAAGGCAAAUGCAGCGUUCCAUUUGAAAUGAAUGUACUUCUGGUGUAUCGAAACGCAAACACGCAGUCGGUGUGUUCGAAGCGUAAGAUUUCAGCUAGCUAACGUUAGCAUUGCUAGAUACAUUUUUUUAACCAACUUUGCAAGCUAAUGACGAAAUUGCCAUCUGUCUAAAGUAAAUUUGACAACAUGAUGGCAAAGUUGUUUACUACUAAAUGGAAAUAUAUUUUUGAUCCAAAAAUCUGGUCGGAGGAUCCCUAUGGAGGGUGUGACGCAAUUGCGAAGCCUCCGGAGGCAAGCAGAAGCCAAAUUUAGCUCCAUAUUGCUUUCGCAGUGCGUCUCCCAAAUUUUGUAACAUUGCGGGGCUCCAUAUUUAAGCAAUAAGGCCUGAGUGGGUGUAGUAUAUGGCCAAUAUACUACAGCUAAGGGUGUGCCUGGAUACAGCCCUUAGCUGUGGUAUAUUGGCAAUACAGUGCCUUCGGAAAGUAUUCAGACCUUGACUUUUUUUCACUUUGUUAUGUUACAACUUUAUUCUGAAAUAGAUUAAAUUGUUUCCCCUCCCUCAAUCUACACACGAUACCCCAUAAUGACAAAGCAAAAACAGGUUUAGACAUUUUUGCUAAUUUACUAAAAAAUAAAAAAAUCACAUUUACAUAAGUAUUCAGACCAUUUUACUCAGUACUUUGUUGAAGUAACUUAGGGCAAAGAUUAUAGCAUCAAGUCUUCUUGGGUAUGACGUUAUACGCUGAGCCACUCAACGACCUUCAGAGACUUAUCCCAAAGCCACUCCUGGUUUGUUUUGGCUGUGUGCUUAGGGUCGUUGUCCUGUUGGAAGGUGAACCUUCACCCCAGGCUGAGCACUCUGGAGCAGGUUUUCAUCAAGGAUCUCUACUUUGCUCUGUUCAUCUUUCCCUCGAUCCUGACUAGUCUCGCAGUCCCUGCUGCUGAAAAACAUCCCCACAGCAUGAUGCUGCCACCACAAUGCUUUACCGUAGGGAUGGUGCCAGGUUUCCUCCAAUCUUGGUUUCAUCAGACCAGAGAAUCUUGUUUCUCAUAGUCUGAGAGUCCUUUAGGUGCCUUUUGGCAAACUUCGGUCAGUGACCACCCGAUUGCUCAGUUUGGCCGGGCGGCCAGCUCUAGGAAGAGUCUUGGUGGGUCCAAACUUCUUCCAUUUAAGAAUUAUGGAGGCCACUGUGUUCUCGGGGACCUUCAAUGCUGCAGUAAUGUUGGUACCUUUCCCCAGAUAUGUGCCCCGACACAAUCGGACCUCUACGGACAUUUCCUUCAACCUCAUUGCUUGUUAUUUUCUGACAUGCACUGUCAACUAUGAGACCUUGUAUAGACCGGUGUGCCGGUCCAAAUCCUGUCUAAUCAAUUGAAUUUACCACAGGUGGACUUCAAUCAAGUUUUAGAAACAUCAAGGAUGAUCAAUGGAAACAGGAAGCACCUGAGCUCAAUUUCGAGUCUCAUAGCGAGGGGUUUGAACACUUAUUUUUGUUAAUUUUUAAUACAUUUGCAAACAUUUCUAAUAACUUGUUUCACUUUGUCAUAUUGUGUGUAGAUUGCUGAGGAGGUUUUUAUUUUUUAAUCCAUUUUAGAAUUUUAGUUGAGUUUGCGGUAGUAGGCAAGGAGGACAUUAUUUUUUCAAGGUAAAGUGGUGCUUUGAAAGGUUGACUUAACUUUGUUUUUUAUAUCCACAUGUGUAAACUACUGAUUUUAAAUGUGAAUUAUGUUCAUAGCUUUCUCAGACAGAGAUUUCACCCUCUGCUCCUUGUCUUUGUGUUUUCUUCAUGUCUGUGUGGACUGAUUCCUUAUGUCAAAAAUGAAGGUAAUAUACACUUCUUACAAUUACAAGUCAUGUGGAUCGUCUUACCUAGACCAUGUGCUAUUUAGGUCCAGCUUAAAUAAUAGACUGUUAAAGUAACUGUCCAGAGAAAGUCUCAUGUUCUGUUAACUCAUACCCAAAUAAUGUUGUUGACUCAUCCUAUACUUGUAUUUGUGGCAAAGCAUAAAUUGGAGAGAAAAAAAACACUUAAAAAAAUCAGAUGGUCUUGUCUUCGCCCUAACAAUGGGAGUAAUUGUCCCAAAGGCGGGAAGGCAGGCGGUCUGCUUAUUCCAAUGUGGCUAGAUUUUGAAGGGAGUGGGCCCUCUCGCUUCGCCUCUUUCUCUCUCACCCACACCUUAGUUUUCCUUCAAAAUAAUGGUAAUUAUUUCACUCCUAUUGUAAUUACUUAUAGGUCAUAUCUCAUAGAAAUCUGUAAACACGGAACAGUUACUUUUAGUCAGAUUUAGUCAGAUGAUUUUGAAAAAGAGAGUAAUAAAUGCUUCCAAAAAAUGAUCCAAAUCAAAAGCCACUGAUUCCUGGUUGUAGAUGAAGAAUGUCUCAAUUUUUAAGAUGGGAAUAAGGAGCAAUGCAAAGCAGGUAAAUGUACAUAGUGAACCCAAUUUGCUGGGGUUAAAGUUCUUCGUCACAUGGAUUUGGCCAAAUUGGCAGUUUAAUGCAUUUACAAAAUUAUCCUCUUUCCCUAAAAGCACGAUUGUCAUUACUUUUUACAUGAAAGGCAAGGUUAACUUGGCUCCACAGACAAUCGAUCUGAGGUUGACAGUGAUAUGACUUAGAUGCAGAAAGUAAGCAGCAUUGUGGGUAAAUUUCUGCAACAACAGGAUUGGGUAGGUUACUUUUUAAAUGUAAUCCGUUACCUGCCAAAUUGAAAUCAGUAAUGUAACUUUUGGAUUACCCAAACUCAGCAACGUAAUCUGAUUACAUCGUUACUUUUAGAUUACUUUUCCCUUAAGAGGCAUUUGAAUAAGACAUAAAUGUUACCAAUGGAACAACAUCUAUUGCAGGAUAAAUCAAUGUUAAAAUUUACAUAGCUGGCCAUAUGGAUGUUACAUUUUACUUUAUGGGUUGGUUAUGUAGGCUUCUUCUAACCCAGGUUAGAAUCUAACCCAUCCCUUUAUUACAUGUGAUAUAAAUUAUAUUGAAGAUUACAUUUGAUCAUGAGUCCAAAAUUGGAUGUAGCAACUACAUUGCUUGGACUGUAGCCUACAAAAGUCUAUACCUGCUCUUUUUCCCCGCGAUCCAUCAAACAUAUUUGGUGUGUUAUCAUAGUGGUCUCUGACUUGUGGUCAGACUCGCUCAAUUGGAACAAAUUUACAUUUGCACAUUUUUUCAAGCCUGAUUUGAAUGUCAUUGAUAUGUGUCAAAAAUUUCUUUUGCAAACAUCCUUUCUGAAUUUAAAAGUAAUCCUCCAGUUUUUCCAAAAGUAUCUGAUUACACUAUUUUUGCUGGUGAUUUUACGGAUUACAGUUACCGUUUCUGUAAUCCGUUACUCCCCAACCCUGUACAGAGAUUAGGCUCCUGCAUAUCACAACCCCAUACACCGGGAAAGAUCAUGUGACAUUCAUGACAAAAGUACUUUUGUACGCAUACUGCUGCAAGACAUACAGCGUUUCCCUUUGUUGAAUGCAUAUCUUGUCUUGUUUUCUGGUUUCUAGAUGAUUGCUGGUUCAAUAUCCGAUUCUAUAGAAACAAUGACAUGCCCAGAGGAAGGGCUGUUACUCUCUCUGACUGUGUCAUCACCUUUUAAGCAAACUUAUAUGGUGUGCUGUAAGAAUUGGAACCAAAAAGGAGUUUCUGCCAAACCACUGGAGCAAUCUUUGCCUGUGCUCUUCAUGGAACAACUAACUGCAGAUUUCAGUCAGGCCGGGUACGUGCUACUUGAGCUUUGAGGCUGGACCAGAUGCAGAGCUCAUGAAGUUAGUCCUCAGGGAGGUGCCCGAGUGUUUAUGGAUUUACAAAAUCCUGGAAUUUGACAGUUUAUGGUACUUUUGUUAAACCACUGAACUCAUCAGCAGUGCAUAUAGCAUAGAAAGUAAUUUUUACAAUGAGGGACCAUUUGUGUUAAUGCUUAAAUACCCAUUCAAGUAUUAAAGAGCUUAGUCAUUAUCAACAGUUGAGUUUAAUGAUUACACUAAUAUCUGCAGUGCACACGUCAUUCAAAUGACAAAUGUUAAUAAUCCAUCAGAAUACGGACAGACACAUUCUACAUGUGUGUAGUUUACCAUCCACUCAAUACAUAAACAGAAAUCUGUAAUCUUGUCAAACACAAUCCAUAAUAUCCAUUUUAUUCUUUAGAGGUUUAAGGUGCAUUCUUCCCAAAGCUAAUUUGUGCGUUACAAUCUGACCGAACGGAUUGGUGAUAUGUAUAAAUCAACGAGACCUAAUAAAGACAAAACAGUUGAAUUUCCAAAGCCAUUUAAGCUUUCAGACAUGUGUAGUAGUAGGACAAAGACCUUCAUGUUUCUUGGCUGUUUAACUAGGACAACUCCUACUUGUUUCAGCCGACACUCCCAACAGUACAAAAUAAAACGAUGCCAUUUUGA